UUCUUAGAGCCACUGCCCUAAGGAGUGAAGAAGGAAGUAUACUGUUUAGCUUGACACGUUUCUCAGUCACUCAGCAAGUUACAGACUCUCAUACAUAUUUAAAGGUUUUCUCCUACGGACAAACAAUUUAUUAACUAAUGGAGCACUCAUUACUGGUGUGGCUGUUGAAAUUAACUGGCAUAAUUUUUCAAGUUAUAUCAGGGUCUCUGGCUCAGGGCUGGAGUGUGUCUCACACACCGAGCAGAUUGUGUGCUCUUCAAAACUCCUCUGUUAGAUUAUUCUGCAAAUUCACCUACCCCAACAACCAAACAGUCACCAGUUCUGAAUGGCACUAUAAAAGGUCAAAAGGCAUGGCUUUUGAAAGACAAGUAGCAAAUUCUCUCUCCGAUGGGUCAAACUACUCUCUUACCCUGGACCGUGUGACACAGGCUGAUGCUGGUGUUUAUCAGUUCACCUUCAGAACCAGCGACUCCACCAAGGAUCUGACAAAUGAAGACAGAAUUAAGCUGGAGA